rnacentral:rRNA from 1 species
AACGAACGCUGGCGGCAUGCCUAACACAUGCAAGUCGAACGAGACCUUCGGGUCUAGUGGCGCACGGGUGCGUACCGCGUGGGAACCUGCCCUUAGGUUCGGAAUAACUCCCCGAAAGGGGUGCUAAUACCGGAUAAUGUCUUCGGACCAAAGAUUUAUCGCCUUUGGAUGGGCCCGCGUUGGAUUAGGUAGUUGGUAGGGUAAAGGCCUACCAAGGCGACGAUCCAUAGCUGGUCUGAGAGGAUGAUCAGCCACACUGGGACUGAGACACGGCCCAGACUCCUACGGGAGGCAGCAGUGGGGAAUAUUGGACAAUGGGCGAAAGCCUGAUCCAGCAAUGCCGCGUGAGUGAUGAAGGCCUUAGGGUUGUAAAGCUCUUUUACCCGGGAUGAUAAUGACAGUACCGGGAGAAUAAGCUCCGGCUAACUCCGUG